CUCUCUCUCUCUCUCUCUCUCUCUCUCGCAAUGCCUCAUUGAUGACCUGAAGCAAAGGUCAAGCUCGCAAAAACAAUGGCUGCAGGAAUAGCAUCAGUGUUCAAUAAGUUCCUCUCUAUAUUUAUCCUCCUUCUCCACCUUGGUUGCUUCAUUUUCGCAGCCAAAGAUCAUCAACCACCGACCAAGAAACGCAAAGUCUCCUCCACAUCUUCUUCUUCAACUCGCCUAAAGCCUCACAGAGCUCUCUCUUCGUCCUGGACCUAUCUCAAACGCAUCUUCUCCUCAAAGACCUACAAAACCAGCAGCUCACAGGGUCAAUCUCCA
rnacentral:misc_RNA from 1 species